rnacentral:rRNA from 1 species
CAACCUGCCCUUCAGAGGGGGACAACAGUUGGAAACGACUGCUAAUACCGCAUACGAUCUAACCUCGGCAUCGAGGAUGGAUGAAAGGUGGCCUCUAUUUAUAAGCUAUCACUGAAGGAGGGGAUUGCGUCUGAUUAGCUAGUUGGAGGGGUAACGGCCCACCAAGGCGAUGAUCAGUAGCCGGUCUGAGAGGGUGACCGGCCACAUUGGGACUGAGACACGGCCCAG